UACGUAGGGGGCUAGCGUUGUCCGGAUUUAUUGGGCGUAAAGAGCGCGCAGGCGGUCAGAUAAGUCGAAUGUGAAAGCCCCCGGCUCAACUGGGGAGGGUCAUUCGAUACUGUUCGACUCGAAGGCAGGAGAGGGAAGUGGAAUUCCCGGUGUAGUGGUGAAAUGCGUAGAUAUCGGGAGGAACACCAGUGGCGAAGGCGACUUCCUGGCCUGCACUGACGCUCAUGCACGAAAGCGUGGGGAGCAAACAGG
rnacentral:rRNA from 1 species